rnacentral:pre_miRNA from 1 species
UAGGAAUGGGCAAACGGUUUUCACGUUGAUCUGCAGAAAGACAUCCUUAAAUCUGAGAUCAUUGUGAAAGCUACUUGCCCCUUUUUG